CCUACGGGGGGCAGCAGUGAGGAAUAUUGGUCAAUGGGCGCAAGCCUGACCCAGCAACGCCGCGUGAAGGAAGAAGGCUCUCGGGUUGUAAACUUCUUUUUAGAGGGAAGAGCAGAAGACGGUACCUCUUGAAUAAGCCACGGCUAACUACGUGCCAGCAGCCGCGGUAAUACGUAGGUGGCAAGCGUUGUCCGGAUUUACUGGGUGUAAAGGGCGUGUAGCCGGGCUGACAAGUCAGAUGUGAAAUUCCGGGGCUCAACCCCGGACCUGCAUUUGAAACUGUUGGUCUUGAGUAUCGGAGAGGCAGGCGGAAUUCCUAGUGUAGCGGUGAAAUGCGUAGAUAUUAGGAGGAACACCAGUGGCGAAGGCGGCCUGCUGGACGACAACUGACGGUGAGGCGCGAAAGCGUGGGUAUCAAACAGGAUUAGAUACCCCUGUAGUC
rnacentral:rRNA from 1 species